rnacentral:rRNA from 1 species
UAGAGUUUGAUCAUGGCUCAGAUUGAACGCUGGCGGCAGGCCUAACACAUGCAAGUCGAGCGCGAAAACACUUCGGUGUGAGUAGAGCGGCGGUCGGGUGAGUAAUGCUUGGGAAUCUGCCCAGUAGUGGGGGAUAACGUGUGGAAACGCACGCUAAUACCGCGUGCGUCCUACGGGAGAAAGCAGGGGAUCUUCGGACCUUGCGCUAUUGGAUGAGCCCAAGUCAGAUUAGCUAGUUGGUGAGGUAAUGGCUCACCAAGGCGACGAUCUGUAGCUGGUCUGAGAGGAUGAUCAGCCACACUGGGACUGAGACACGGCCCAGACUCCUACGGGAGGCAGCAGUGGGGAAUAUUGCA